rnacentral:lncRNA from 1 species
ACAAGGAAAACUAUCAGCAGUUAAACAACAUAUCAGUAGUUUAAACAGCAGCAGAAGCAAUAACAAUUACUAGAUAUAACUACUAGUAAUACACAUAUGCACAAGGGUACUUCUCCUCCCCCAUAAAUCUGUGCAACAAACAAUAGAAUUACUAGUUAUGGAUGCAACUAGUAAGACACACAAUGCACAGUGCACAAGGGUACUUCUUCUCCCC